rnacentral:lncRNA from 1 species
AUGGGCCCGCGGGCCGGGCGGGCUCGGGGCGGCCGGGACGAGGAGGGGCGACGACGAGCUGCGAGCAAAGAUGUGCCCCGGGACCCCCGGCACCUUCCAGUGGAUUUCCUUGCGGAAAGGAUGUUGGCGGUCCCUGUGACCUGUGGAGACACGGCCAGAUCUGCCCUCCAGAUUUAUUAGGAGAAAAACCUUCCCGGAAGCUGCAGAAGGACAAAUACAGAAUCCGUGUCUGGGAGAAACCUCGUGGCCUGGUCUCCAUUAUUUGAGAUGAGUUACAUCUUGGAGGUGAGGACGUGCCUCGUGGUCUAAAGCUUCGGCACAAGGGCCCAACUGGAAUUCCACUUACGGGCCUGAUCUUUUGGCCAGAAGGAGAUUAAAAAGAUGCCCCUCAAGAUGGCUGUGCCUGUCAGCUGCAUGGAGCUUCGUUCAAGUAUUUUCUGAGCCUGAUGGAUUUACAGUGAUCUUCAGUGGUCUGGGGAAUAACGCUGGUGGAACCAUGCACUGGAAUGACACACGCCCGGCACAUUUCAGGAUACUAAAAGUGGUUUUAAGGGAGGCUGUGGCUGAAUGCCUCAUGGAUUCUUACAGCUUGGAUGUCCAUGGGGGACGAAGGACUGCAGCUGGCUGAGAGGGUUGAGAUCUCUGUUUACUUAGAUCUCUGCCAACUUCCUUUGGGUCUCCCUAUGGAAUGUAAGACCCCGACUCUUCCUGGUGAAGCAUCUGAUGCACGUUCCAUCCGGCGCUCAGCUGGGCUUGAGAAUCCUGUUACACCUGGGAUUUAGGCACUUUCAAUCUGAAAAAAUACAUAUCCUUUCAGCACUCUGGACGGACUUGAGAACUGUCCUUACGUGACCUAAAGCUGGAGUAUUUUGAGAUUGGAGAAUUAAGAUGCUUAGGGCUUAUCUUGUAUAUUUCCAGCCCCAGUUAUAGAAUCAGCCAUUUCUUCAAGGAUCCCCUGUCAUUUUACUGGAGAAAGGACUUAGAAUCCAAGAUCUGGGUGCUAGAUGUGCUUGAGGUGUUGUUUCCUCCAGAUCUUCUCAACUGACAGAGCAGUGAAAUAUAUGUGUGUAGGGAGGAUGGGGAGAACAAUUUUUUUAACACAUAUGAAUACUUACCUGGCAGGGGAGAUACCAUGAUCACAAAGGUGGUUUCCCCAGGGUGAGGCUUAUCCAUUGCACUCCCGAUGUGCUGACCCCUGUGAUUCCCCCAAAUGUGGGAGACUUGACUGCAUAAUUUGUGGUAAUGGGGGACUGCAUUUACACUUUUCCCUGUAAAAAUUUUUAAAAAUAAAUAAAUACAUAAAUAAAUAAA